GAUGAACGCUGGCGGCGUGCUUAACACAUGCAAGUCGAACGAAGCAUUGUGACUUGAUUUCUUCGGAUUGAUUGUUACUAUGACUGAGUGGCGGACGGGUGAGUAACGCGUGGGUAACCUGCCUCAUACAGGGGGAUAACAGUUGGAAACGACUGCUAAUACCGCAUAAGCGCACGGUACCGCAUGGUACAGUGUGAAAAACUCCGGUGGUAUGAGAUGGACCCGCGUCUGAUUAGCUAGUUGGUGGGGUAACGGCCCACCAAGGCGACGAUCAGUAGCCGACCUGAGAGAGUGACCGGCCACAUUGGGACUGAGACACGGCCCAAACUCCUACGGGAGGCAGCAGUGGGGAAUAUUGCACAAUGGGCGAAAGCCUGAUGCAGCGACGCCGCGUGAAUGAAGAAGUAUUUCGGUAUGUAAAGUUCUAUCAGCAGGGAAGAAAAUGACGGUACCUGACUAAGAAGCACCGGCUAAAUACGUGCCAGCCGCCGCAGUAACAC
rnacentral:rRNA from 1 species